rnacentral:rRNA from 1 species
UACGGGGGGGGCAAGCGUUGUUCGGAAUUACUGGGCGUAAAGGGCGCGUAGGCGGUUGGAUAAGUCAGCUGUGAAAACCACGGGCUUAACUCGUGGCCUGCAGUUGAGACUGUCUGGCUUGAGUGUGGGAGAGGAGAGUGGAAUUCCUGGUGUAGCGGUGAAAUGCGUAGAUAUCAGGAGGAACACCUGCGGUGUAGACGGCUUUCUGGACCAUUACUGACACUGAGACACGAAAGCGUGGGUAGCAAACAGG